rnacentral:rRNA from 1 species
UACGUAGGGUCCGAGCGUUGUCCGGAAUUACUGGGCGUAAAGCGUGCGUAGGCGGUCCGCAAAGUCUGAUGUGAAAGCCCCGGGCUCAACCUGGGAACUGCAUUGGAAACUAACGGGCUUGAGUGUGGCAGAGGGGGGUGGAAUUCCACGUGUAGCAGUGAAAUGCGUAGAUAUCUGGAGGAACACCGGUGGCGAAGGCGGCAUCCUGGACCGACACUGACGCUGAGGAGCGAAAGCCAGGGGAGCAAACGGG